rnacentral:rRNA from 1 species
AUUGAACGCUGGCGGCAGGCUUAACACAUGCAAGUCGAACGAGUGGCGGACGGGUGAGUAAUGCUUGGGAAUCUGGCUUAUGGAGGGGGAUAACGACAGGAAACUGUCGCUAAUACCGCGUACCAUAGGAUGAGCCCAAGUGGGAUUGGGUAGUAGGUGGGGUAACGGCUCACCUAGGCGACGAUCCCUAGCGGGUCUGAGAGGAUGACCAUCCACAGGGGAACUGAGACACGGUGCAGCAUCCUACGGGAGGCAGCAGUUGGGAAUCUUCCACAAUGGGCGCAAGCCUGAUUCAGCCAUUCGGGGUGGGUGAAGAAGGCCUUCGGGUUGUAAAGCACUUUAAGCGGGGAGGCGUUACCUGCAGAAGAAGCACCGGCUAACUCCGUGCCAGCAGCCGCGGUAAUAC